UUAGGCCUCAUUGCCAACUGGUGUUGCAGAAAUCCCUGCUCUUUGUCAUUGGUUUGAAACUCCUAAACUGUGGACCACUCUUGUAGGUGACAAGUGAGUGAGCAGCCCUUCCCUCAAAGGAGUGCCUGGAUGGGGGGAGAUCUGUUUUAUUUCAUGUGCCCCCAUGGACUAUGCCAUCCCCAAGGAAAUCUUGCUUUUCCCUCCUCCUUUCCCUCAGCACCAUCAAGGGAGACAUUGUCCACAUUGCUGUUAAGACUGUGAUGGAGCUCAUUUGUCUCUGCUGCCUCAGUUCUGUCUGUUUUGCCCAACAUACACAACUAAGGACAAUCGGUUUGCAGAUUAUGUGUGUUUGAGCACGAAAAGAGAAGAGGGAGGACAGAAUGUCGAAAAGUGAAAUCUUAGGGUAAAUAUCUUAAAUCAUGGCAACAUUCCUGGUGGUCUGGUCUAAUACUAUGCCAGGGAACCAUCUCUUAGAAGACAUGAUGGAUGCUCAGCACAUGGACAGAACAUGGAACCAGCCAAGCCCCAAAGAGCCAAACGGGACCACCAAAUCCCCAGAAGACAGCAGAGGUGCUUGGGGACCCUACAUCGCCCAUCUUCUUCCCAUUGCCUACAGGAUGUCAGCCCCAGACCUCAUCAUUUCCCUUCCUGCUCUGGGUCUGGCUUUUCCAUUGUGCAGGUUUUGCCUUUCGUUGCUUCCACGGUCCUACAGCAAGCAAUUCCUUCUCUAGCUUGGUGCGUCCUCUCAACUCUUCCAUGUGAAUCACAGCUGUGGAAUGCAGCCCUUCAGCCGGGGAUGGGAUCAGGGCAGCUCUGGGAAUACCGAAACUCCAAGUAUCAAUUCCUGUAGCAUUGUGUUUUACCCCAACAACAAAAUCUGGGCUGUCAUCGGAAUAAGACAGAGGGAUGCUCCUCAGUCUAUACCGGUCCUGUUGGGACCCACGGGGAACAUGAACUGGGAGCACAGCUCAUACCAUCCCCAUCCACGGUUGGCUUUUGGCUGGAACGAUUCCCUCAACCAUUUGUGAGCUAUCAGAGUGAAGGCACAGCCGCACUCCGCACGGCUCACUGUUGGCUCAGCAGCUCUCAGCCCAUUUGCUCGGAGUGAACCUGCUCCAAAGUGCAGACGCGGGACACGUCGGUCCCAAAGCACGAUUCAGCUCAGCAUCUGUAAAGGCGCCCACAGAC
ensembl:lncRNA